CGUAGCUUCGGGAGGAAUACCGGUAGUGUAGCACGCUAUAUGGACAUUAACUAAGGCUGAGACACCAAGCUAGGGUAGCAAACAGGCUAAGCUACCUUGGUUGUCCACGCCUCAGUCGAUGCAUAUUUAGCGGGGGUCACUCAGGUGAUUCGUCCUGAAGUUAACGCAUUAAAUAUGUAGCCCGGGGAGUACAGUCUCAUGGCCGAAACUCAAGUGAAUCAAUGGUGGGCGCAACAAGCGGUGGAGGCUGUGAUUUAUUUCGCCGCAACGAGAGGAACGUCUCCACGGCUUGAACGGCCAGUAAAUGCCGGUGGAGACAUCGGUACCCGUCAAGGGGGUCCAGUUGAGAUGUAGCAAGGCGGUGGUCAUUUUGUGUCGUGAGAUGUUGGGUUAAGUCCCGCAACGAGCGCAACCCUUAAGGGGUGUUUCCAUCAUUCAGUUGGGAACUCUCAGGAUUGCCCCAGGGAUACCAGGUUGGAAGGUGGGGAUGACGUCAAGUCUUCAUGGCCUUUAUGUCCAGCAGUGCACACGUGUUACAAUGGACGGUGCAAAGCGCAGCAAACCCGGGAGGGGGAGCCAAUCGCAAAAAACCGUUCUCAGUUCGGAUUGCAGGUUGCAACUAGCCUGCAUGAAGCUGGAAUCGCUAGUAAUGGCAGAUCAGCAGUUUCCCAGGAAUACGUUCCCGGGCCUUGUACACACCGCCCGUCACAUCACGAAAGUGGAUUGUACUAGAAGUCUGCACGCUGACCCUCAAGGGAGGCAGCGGCCCAGGGUAUGAUUCAUGAUUGGGGUGAAGUCCUAACAAGGUAACC
rnacentral:rRNA from 1 species